rnacentral:lncRNA from 1 species
UAUAUAUAUAUAUAUAUAUAUAUAUAUAUAAUCUUCUCACUAUCGGUAUCUAAUUUCACAGUGGUCCUGUUUCCGAUCAAGGCCAUCAACCGCAUGCAGUUGACUUAACUUGUGCUAAAAGAAAAUAAGAAAUGAAUCUAUCGUAUGUGAUUUGACUAAUGUUAAAAGGUUAAAUGUUUGCUUGAGAUUGCUUUUAAAAUGGUUAGAAGAGGUUUUUAAUAACCCAAACAUUUUUUACUACGUCUGUCAAAAAUUACAUAAGCACUUAUGAGUGGUAAAAAUAUAUUUUCAAGAAGCAUUUUAAUUUUUCAUCAAAGUCGCUACAUGUUUAUAAUAAACGCACUGCAUUCAAUGCUCUAUCAAUUCUCCAAUGAACCCAAAUUUCAUUGCUUCAUACACACACACACACUCUCGUGGUUUGACUUUCCAUCCUCCUCUUUUGUGUUCAGAGAUAAAAUUUUAAAGUACAGAAAUUGAAGCGGAGAUGGUUAAUUAAGUUAUAAGAGAUUACAUACACAUACAAAGAAAAAUUAAUUGAAUAAAUAAUUGAGUUCUUGAGAAGCUGCCAUGAAUACAAAAUUCAUACAAUUACAAACUUUUUGAGUAACAAAUAUAACUAAUCAAACACUGGUCACACUGAAGAUGAAACUAAAUACGAAGAAGUUGCUUGGGCUUCAACUUAUCAAGAUUCAAUAGGCAGCUAGUUGGCGAGAAGCUGCCAACCUCUUGUAAAUCUCCCAAACCAAUCUGCUGUCAACUAACUCGUCACCACAAGAAGCCACUGAAAUCUGGUCUUGGGGUUUUGCGAUCUUCUUCGCGGCAAUCCUUCCCACACCGCCGGCCUUGCCCGCCAUCCGAAUCAUCAUGUCAACGUAACCGUUAUGCAACUUAGCCAAAAGCUUUAUAGGGGAAACAAACUUCAGCAGCCUCAGCUUAGUUUUGAGCUUCCAACUACGUCUAGGACUCCCCUUAGCUCCACCGCCACCGAGCUUCGCCACCCUCAUCUUCUUCUUGGUGUCAGCAUUCAGCCUCUGAUACCUUCUCCUCCUCCAGUACCUCUUCAAGUUGUCGUAGUAAGUGGUCGAAACAAUCUCCAUUUUAAUUGAUUUCUAGUAGUACUAAUGUGUCUGCACUCAGUUUCUUAAGUUGUGUGUGUAGAAAUGACUUGAGAGAGGUGUGUCAAGAGAGGAAGUCAGAUGGGGUUUAUAUAGAGGAGGAGAAGAAUUUCGGUGCCAAGUCAAGGUGGCAGGCUAGGUCUUAUGGUUGAGCGCGGGAUAUAUCAAACAAUUAUGUGAAUAUAUUCAGUUUUGUAAAAUGAACUUGAUCAAUAUGUCUGACUGGGCAAGGGCUAAUCCUUUUUUGUUUGAAUAAUGAAUCGACAUAAUAUUAUAUUCGAAUUUGAUUACUAAUUCAGUCCCUGUUACAUAUGAUUGCUGUCAUCCAUUACAAAAACAAACAAAACAAAAGGGUAUAAAAUCAACAUCAACAAAUUCACACCACAUUCCGAUGGAAACGGCAUCAAUAUUAUAUAAAACAAUAAUAUUCUCUUCUCAAAUAAUUUUAUAUAAGCAAAAAACAAGAUUUGGCACAUAGAAAAAGACUUGGUAGCUGAAAGGCCAAAUAUAUUCCAGUUAGAAGCUCAUGAUCAACCCGCAAAAAGAGAGAUUUUUUAGUGUGAUUGGAAUAUGGAGUGAUACACUACGUGUUACUAAAUAAAUUGCGGGUAUGUGUAUUAAAAUGUUAAUAAUUUAAAAAUUAAAAUUUAUCACCACUUACAUAAAAACAAGUGAUGUAUCCCCCGUGUUCCCUUCCCAAUGAAAAAUUUCUCCCGCAUAAGAAGUGCGGCUCGACUUUCUCGUUAUCCAUAUUAAUUAUUAAAUAAUUCCGAUAUCCUUGUGCUCCUAUUGAAUGAUUCGUGAAGUAUAUAUAAUUGAUUUGUGCAAUUUGGUAGUAUUUAGACUAAAUUUGUAAAUCAUGUGAUGUGUCAUCAAUAAAAAAUAAGCACGUUAAUCAACAUUUAAGUAAUAAUUCAAUCAUUAACAACCACGUCAUAUGAUUUAUAAAAUUUGGUCUAAAUAAUUGAUCUCUCUAGCAUUACCUUUUCAAAUCAUUUAACCAUUAUCAGUAUAGGUUAUUUACAAUAAAACCAUAACAUUUUAGCCCUUGAUUACAUAAAUAGCUAUUUAACCCUAGCUUUCCUAAAAACUCUCAGGAGGUGUUUGUUGUACCGAACUGUCUCGGACUGGACUAGCUUCAGGAACUAAGCUGGACUGGCUUAGACUAGACUAAGCUGGACUAGCUUAAUGUAGUGUUUGGUGCAGUGUCGGACUAAGAAGCAGACUAAUUAAUAAAUUAUAAUAUUAUAUAUAUAUCUAUCAAUAUUUUAUGUAUCUAUUAAUAUUUUAUCUAUUUUAUUUUUAAUUUAUUUUUUUCUUUUUGGAUUCUCUUCCUUUUUUCUGGAAACAUCCACCAUUUUUCCACCAUUCUCCCUCGUUUUCUCCGGCACACCGUCUCCCUCUCAUCCCUCUUUUUUCUCCCCUUUUUCUCCCUGUUUUCUUCUUCAACGGAGGAAGCUGUGCAUUUUGCACCUAAUUUGGAUCAAAGACCAACAAGUCUUUCUUCUUGUUCCUCUAACUAGAGAUAGCUCUCUUUUUCACAAAAAUCCCAAAUCAAGGUAAUAGAUUUCUGGGUUUCUAGAGAAGAGCAUUGUGGAUUUCUGGAGGUCUUUCGUUUUUUGCCUACAAAUUUCUGGAGAAGUGCACAGCAACCCAAGGUAAUAGAUUUCUAGGUUUAUUGCAGAUUUUGAUAUUUUAUAUAUUUGGGAUUUAUAAGGUUUAAUCUUCGAAUUGAAGUGUUGUGUAUGGUGUGGAUUAAGCUUAUUCGAAGCUUAACUGAAUGAAUUCAUCUCUGAAGCAAACAGGGGGUUGGGUUCGCGGGACGGAAUGGGCAGAGCCAUUUCAGAUUUGGUGACUAGAGAAGAGGGCGGAAGGCAUGAUUUGGUAACUGGGUUCGCGGGAAGAAGGAGAUCCGGGAUGUAUGCUUGCAGACGACGUGGGCGCUAGAGACGAGAUUAGCAAUCCGCCAGUUUUUGGGGGGACCAGCUAAGAACAGCUAGUGAAGCUUUUAGUCGGUGCGAGUCCGACUUAAUCUCAUUAAAGGCAGUCUUUGUUUGCGCCAUACACGGGCUAGGACUCCUACCUAAGGCAGUCCAGUCCAGUGAGACUUAAAGAGGCCAAACAAACGUGCCCUCAAGUGACUAAUUAUAAAGACUAGGACUGCAAUAUUUUCUACCAAAUAGUAUAACUGAGUUCUAAAAUUUAUGGAAAAUGUGGUUUGACUCACAAGGCGUACAUAGUUUGAGAAGUUAAGGGCUCGUUUGAAAGUGUUUUUAAAAUGACUGAAAACGUUUUUAGAGCAAAUGUUUAUGGGUUACAAAAGUGCUUCCUGCGUACAAGAAGCACAUAACUGGUGUUUAAAGCACUACAAGUAUGCACUUGCAUUUUUACAAAAGAUUGUUUCUAAUAACAUCUCCACAAAAAGCACUUUCAUCCAUUUAAAAAACAGUUUCAAACGAGCUCUAAGUUUCAUUGCUUAGGCCGCCUCGGGAGUACAACGUUUUUUCAAAGAUGGCUUGCAGACUUUGUAUACACACUCAUUUUUAGUUUCAUGCACUUCCCUUGCGUGUUGUAAAAAAAUUCAGUUACCAAGUGUAGGUGGAUGAAAUAUGUAUGAGUGUUAAAUUAAACGCACAUACGUACCAAAAAUUCAACCAAUUUAUAUUGAGUUUCUUUAAAGGCUCCCAGAGUACAAAAACUUUACAAUUUCUGCAGACGUCCAAACUUUUGAUUAACAUUUAACAAAUAGAAUUAUCAAAAUGGUAACACUAAUUAAAAACGAAACUACAUAUCCAUCAAGUUGAAGAAGUUGCUUUGACUUUCAACUAUCAAUCCAUGAUCAGCCAAUUGGCGAGAAGCUGCCAAUCUCUUGUAAAUCUCCAAAACCAAUCUGCUGUCAACUAACUGAUCACCACAGGUAGCCACUGAAACCUGAUCUUGGGGUUUUGCAAUCUUCUUCGCGGAAAUCCUCCCAACGCCGCCGGCCUUUCCCGCCAUCCGAAUCAUCAGGUCCACGUAACCGUUAUGCAACUUUGUCAAAAGCUUCAUUGGUGAAACAAAUUUCAUCAGCCUCAGCUUGGUCUUGAGCUUCCAACUCCGUUUAGGACUAGUGCUCCCUUUAGCUCCUCCGCCGAGCCUUGUGACCCUCAUCUUCUUUCUGGGCUCACCAUUCAGCUUUUGGUACCUUCUUCUCCUCCAGCACCUCUUCAAGUUGUCGUAGUACGUAGUCGGAACAAUCUCCAUUUCAAUAAAAAAAAAGUAGGAAUAUAUAGCUCGCACUCGCAGUCGUGUUUGCCUCAAAUCUCAGCCGUAGCCCCUGAAACAGACGAACAAGUUGAGAACUGAUGGUUUUUGAGGUUUUGAGGUUUCAGAGAGUUGUUUGAAGAGAGGAAGUGAAGAGGGGUUUAUAUAUAGAGAGAUUAGAGAGGCGAGGAGGGGAAGAAUUGGGUGGCAAGUCAAAACAUGAGGGCUUGGUCGUACUAGGGUUUCUCCAGGAAAUGAGGGCUUUGUAGGGCAGUGUGCUUGGUCAAUAUUGUCUGUCUGCGUGUGUGUGGCCACUUACCAGGCAAAUGCUAAUCUUAUGCAAUUGAAUAAUUAAUUAGGUUUGAUUAAGUUAAAUAUGCUUUUAAUAUUUUGGGUCAAAAUAUGCUUUUAAUUGAUGAAUCGGUUACUAAAUCCAAUGCGUGGCAUUCUUCAAAAAAAAAAAAAAAAAUCCAAUGCGUGGCAUAUUUAUAUAUUAUAUGGUUAAUUCGUCGAAUAUUCUCAUGCUUGAAUUGGUUAACAAGUCCAAUCGGUAUUGAUCCAUGGUCCAAUCUCUAAUUAAUGCUCUAACUCUGACUUAAACAGAACUCUUCCGUACAUACCAACUAAGGGUGCUUGCUUUGAAGUUAAGUGAUCAAUAUUAAAUGGUUCAAUAUAAAAUUAGAUAUUUAAAUGGUUUAUUUUUCAUUUUUCAUUUUUUCAAUGCCCAUUUUCCCUUUUCAAUUUCUGAAGAAAAUAUGGGUAUUGAUUUGACUAUAAUACAUAUGAGUACAAAAUAUUCUUGCAUUUGGAGCCUUUGAUAUAAUUCUAAGGGUUGGAUCUAACGGCUCUAAAUGACGAAUGUAAUACAUCAGUGUAUUAUAAAAAAAUUAAAAUAAUGAUACGAUUAAAUGUAAAUGAAAGCUUUAUUUUUCAUUUUCUGGCAAUGAGCACUUAAAAUUCUGAUCGUUGAUCCCGUUUGAUUAUUCAAUUUAAUGGUUAAAAAUAAAAUAAAAAUGUGCGCCGAUAGGUAAAAUUGCCUAAAAAUUACUUGUCCAAAUUAAAAUGUGAAGGGUAUUUCUCAAUUCCACAUCUUAUUAGAAGAUACGCUCACUAAACCAGUAUUGGGCCUACUGAAGAAGAAAAAAAGUGGCUGGCCCAUUGAUUAGAAAAAUCAGCAAUGCGCCAACACCAUGCGUCUGGACGCGAACACAUGCUUAUAAUAUAAGGAAAACUAAUGAAAAGUGAAUGGAAAUUUGAGUUUUAACAAUAAGGAUAAAAUAAAUAGUACCAUGAUUGACUUUUUAGUGUAAAAAUGUAGUUUUUCGU